CAAUAGCGUAUAUUAAAGUUGUUGCAGUUAAAAAGCUCGUAGUUGGAUUUGUGGCGUACGGUGUGUUCCGGGCACUUGUUGUCUGAGUAACCUGCUGUUGCCAUCCUUGGGUGGAACCUGUGUGGCAUUAGGUUGUCGUGCAGGGGAUGCCCAUCAUUUACUGUGAAAAAUUAGAGUGUUCAAAGCAGGCUUAUGCCGUUGAAUAUAUUAGCAUGGAAUAAUGAGAUAGGACUUUUUUGCUAUUUUGUUGGUUUGCGCAAAGAGGUAAUGAUUAAUAGGGACAGUUGGGGAUAUUCGUAUUCCAUUGUCAGAGGUGAAAUUCUUGGAUUUUUGGAAGACGAACUACUGCGAAAGCAUUUACCAAGGAUGUUUUCAUUAA
rnacentral:rRNA from 1 species